rnacentral:rRNA from 1 species
UACGAAGGGGGCUAGCGUUGUUCGGAAUUACUGGGCGUAAAGCGUGCGCAGGCGGCCAUCCAAGUCAGUGGUGAAAGCCCGGAGCUCAACUCCGGAAUUGCCAUUGAAACUGUUUGGCUUGAGGACGAGAGAGGUGAGUGGAAUUCCCAGUGUAGAGGUGAAAUGCGUAGAGAUGUGGAGGAACACCGAUGGCGAAGGCGGCAUCCUGGCCCUGUCCUGACGCUCAGGGGCGAAAGCGUGGGGAGCAAACCGG